rnacentral:lncRNA from 1 species
CUUUAUCUGCCCUUAACCACAGUCUCUUAAGGCUGGAUACCAUAGCCAUAUAUGGAUCUCUAUAGGAAAAGAAAGUGAAUAUCUUUCUGGGGUCCCCACAAAUGCUGUAAGCUCACCUCCAACUCAGCUCAGAUUCAGAGGAAAGGAUCUUUGCUUUGCUAGAGUCCAACCAGACCAGAAAAACAUAAAGAGAUACAUCAACACAGGCACCAUCACAAGGACAGUCCAUAGCUCCAUCAAGCCAGAAGUCUCUGGAGACUGUGCAUGUGAUGACUCUAAUGGAAUUCAUCAUCACUGCUAACUAAACCUCUGAAGCUGUAGUCUGCAAUCAAGAGAGGAUAAAGUGGCUCUUGCUGAAGUGAAGACCCCCAUCAUCUAUAUUCUCUGAAUGCUUCGUCAGGCAGAGACACAAGACUAUAUAACCAAUGAGCACUUUUUUUAGUCUAAUAGUUUUCCAGAUUUAUUCUCUGUCCAAUAAUAUGUGGCCUUAAGGGUCUUGGUAGUUCUCAGAAUUAACUGUGUAUGUGACUGACUAGAGGCAAUUUCAGUAGUAAAUUCCCCUGGCUUUAAUGCAGGAAUUGCUAAUUCAGUGAGCCUGGAGAAAAAAACCGUGUUAUUCACAUAAUGUUCUCAAAAAGUAUAACACAGAGAAAAAACUUCACAGAAUUACAUGUGUAUAGUUCAUGUAACUAUCACCAAGUGUACACACUCACUCGAUACUUUUUGUUUUAUAUUUUGGAAAGAUUUGUCUAUCUCAAGAUUCUCCUUUUUUCAGAAUUGAUUCUCUGUGAUUCUGAAGCAUGUGCAGAGCAAGAGGCUCCACUUUUGAGUAUGUGAAAGUUAUUAUAUAAUGUCAAAUAUCAGAAAAAAUGUUUCAGAUCUGAGUUGAUGACAGUGAGGUUUGGUCCAGCACUAAGAAUGUCUUACAUAAAGCAUUAAGUUAAAAGGGAGGGAUUUAAGAAUUAAAGUCUGAUAUCAAUGCCUGUUAAGAAUGGAUGGGGUUGAUGUAGAGUUAGUGAAGAGUGAGUAAAGUCACAUUGCCAUUUCAAGGUCAAAAUCUGGGGAAGCAGACUCGAGCAGGUUUUAAGUUUCUGAUUCAGAGCUGCAAGGGGAUAGGGAUAACGGAAUAGAAUGCUAGAUUGAGUAGAGACUGGAGAAUUAAGGUGUAGGCCAUACUAUGGGGCGGUAUUCUCCACUUUGCCAUUUGAUCAUGAUAUACUCCUUUUAUUUCCCCUCCCUCCUUGCUUUAAUGAAGUGUUUUAAACCCCCUGCUAACCUGCAGUCUUACCACAUUUUAGAAAGCUGUCCUGUUGUUAUAUUUAGGGGUUUUUUUUUUUUUUUGGUUAAAGUUCAGUGAGUCACGCUAGGAAAAUAUGUUUUAUCUUGGGAAAGAAGGCAAUUCAUUUUCCAUCCCAAGUUGACUACUUAUAUUUUUCAAUAAAUUCUAGUUUGAUCCUUUUUACACUUGAUCUUAGCCAAAAGGUUGAGAAGCGAUUAGUUUGAUCCUUUUUAAGACAAGUGAUAUUACCUUUGGAGCUACUAAGAUCUCACGUUUUGAGUCAAACUUGUGUGGUUUAAAUUCUUACCUGGGAUCUUGGAAAAAUUACUUAAUUGCUCCGUACUUCAGUUCCUUCAGUUAUUAAUUAUAGAUUAUAAUAACUAUUCCUCGGGAUUAACAUAAGGAUUAAAUAAAUUAAUACAUUCAAGUUGCUUAUUAGACACUAUGAUGCAAUAUUUUUUGAUUCCUUACAACUAAAAAUUAAAUUGAUGAUUAAAGUUCAAGGCAAUGUCAGUUAUAAAUUCAGAGAUCCUUAAAUAUUCCAUAUGCUUCUGGUAUAAUUUAACCUCCACCCCUACUCAAUUUUUGCCCAACAGAA